UCCCAAAGCUCCAUGUUCAGUCGAAGAGCACAAUCACCCCCAAUAGACCGUUUCUUCAGUCAAGGGUGCGUGAGUAGCUGUGCUCCUCGGCUAUAACCUGCAAAUAAGCUCUCAAAAUAAAAAUUAAGAAAGUGCAAAAGC
ensembl:misc_RNA 7SK 7SK RNA